rfam:Oryza sativa (indica cultivar-group) chromosome 10, whole genome shotgun sequence.
CUUCCGUCUCAUUUUAAACGUCCUGUGUCUAAUUUUGAUCGCCAAUCUUUUUUAAAAUUUUUUAUGAUUAGUAUUUUAAUUAUUAUUAGAUGAUAAAAAUAUGAAUAAUACUUUACGCGUGACUUAUGUUUUUUUAUUUUUUUUAAAUAUGAUGGACGAUUAAAGUUGAACGCAGAAACUUAUUGUUGUGUUUAAA